CCUACGGGGGGCUGCAGUAAGGAAUAUUGGUCAAUGGACGCAAGUCUGAACCAGCCAUGCCGCGUGGAGGAUUAAGGCCCUCUGGGUUGUAAACUCCUUUUAUCUGGGAAGAAAUGUACUUUUUCUUGAGUACUUGACGGUACCAGAGGAAUAAGCACCGGCUAACUCCGUGCCAGCAGCCGCGGUAAUACGGAGGGUGCAAGCGUCAUCCUGAUUCACGGGGUCGUAAGGGUGCAGAGGUGGGCAGGUAGAAAGCUCCGGGCUUAACCCGGAAACUGCCGUUGAUACUAUUUGUCUUGAAUAUUGUGGAGGUAAGCGGAAUAUGUCAUGUAGCGGUGAAAUGCUUAGAUAUGACAUAGAACACCAAUUGCGAAGGCAGCUUACUACACAAUCAUUGACGCUGAGGCACGAAAGCGUGGGGAUCAAACAGGAUUAGAUACCCUAGUAGUC
rnacentral:rRNA from 1 species